GGGUACCGUUUCCCCGUAGGUGAACCUGCGGAAGGAUCAUUCGCAC
rnacentral:rRNA from 1 species